rnacentral:rRNA from 1 species
UGGGGAAUUUUGGACAAUGGGGGCAACCCUGAUCCAGCCAUGCCGCGUGAGUGAAGAAGGCCUUCGGGUUGUAAAGCUCUUUCGGCGGGGACGAAAUGGCAACGGCUAAUAUCCGUUGUUGAUGACGGUACCCGCAUAAGAAGCACCGGCUAACUACGUGCCAGCAGCCGCGGUAAUACGUAGGGUGCGAGCGUUAAUCGGAAUUACUGGGCGUAAAGCGUGCGCAGGCGGUUUCGUAAGACAGACGUGAAAUCCCCGGGCUCAACCUGGGAACUGCGUUUGUGACGGCGAGGCUAGAGUACGGCAGAGGGGGGGAGAAUUCAACGUGUAGCAGGGAAAUGCGUAGAGAUGGGGAGGAAUACCGAUGGCGAAGGCAGCCCCCUGGGUGAGUACUGACGCUCAGGCACGAAAGCGUGGGGAGCAAACA